rnacentral:rRNA from 1 species
UACGUAGGGUGCGAGCGUUAAUCGGAACUACUGGGCGUAAAGCGUGCGCAGGCGGUUCGCCAAGUCAGGUGUGAAAUCCCCGGGCUUAACCUGGGAACUGCAGUCGAGACUGUCUAGCUAGAGUAUGGGAGAGGGAAGUGGAAUUUCAGGUGUAGCGGUGAAAUGCGUAGAUAUCUGAAGGAACAUCAGUGGCGAAAGCGACUUCCUGGACCAAUACUGACGCUCAUGUGCGAAAGCGUGGGGAGCAAACAGG